CAACAUCCUACGUUGAAAAUGGACUAGACGAUACUGAUAAUAAUAAUGGUUUUAUGCAAAAUUGCAGUGCAACAGAUCACUCAACGGUUGCUGAGCAUGAAUUAACAUUUUUAGCGCUUGGAAUAGUUUCAACAUCCUAUGUUUAAUAUGGAUUAGAAGAUUGCAGUACAGCAGAUCUUUCAAGCCAUGAUGAAACAUGAAUUAUCGUUUUUAGCACUUGGGAAAAUUUGGACAUCCCAUGUUGAAAUUUGACUAGACAAUACUGAUAAUAAUAAUAAUAAUAAUGGUAUUUUGCAUGAUUGCAGUACAGCAGAUCUUUCAAGCCAUGAUGAAACAUGAAUUAUGGUUUUUAGCACUUGGGAAAAUUUGGACAUCCCAUGUUGAAAUUUGACUAGACAAUACUGAUAAUAAUAAUAAUAAUAAUGGUAUUUUGCAUGAUUGCAGUACAGCAGAUCUUUCAAGCCAUGAUGAAACAUGAAUUAUGGUUUUUAGCACUUGGGAAAAUUUGGACAUCCCAUGUUGAAAUUUGACUAGACAAUACUGAUAAUAAUAAUAAUAAUAAUGGUAUUUUGCAUGAUUGCAGUACAGCAGAUCUUUCAAGCCAUGAUGAAACAUGAAUUAUGGUUUUUAGCACUUGGGAAAAUUUGGACAUCCCAUGUUGAAAUUUGACUAGACAAUACUGAUAAUAAUAAUAAUAAUAAUGGUAUUUUGCAUGAUUGCAGUACAGCAGAUCUUUCAAGCCAUGAUGAAACAUGAAUUAUGGUUUUUAGCACUUGGGAAAAUUUGGACAUCCCAUGUUGAAAUUUGACUAGACAAUACUGAUAAUAAUAAUAAUAAUAAUGGUAUUUUGCAUGAUUGCAGUACAGCAGAUCUUUCAAGCCAUGAUGAAACAUGAAUUAUGGUUUUUAGCACUUGGGAAAAUUUGGACAUCCCAUGUUGAAAUUUGACUAGACAAUACUGAUAAUAAUAAUAAUAAUAAUGGUAUUUUGCAUGAUUGCAGUACAGCAGAUCUUUCAAGCCAUGAUGAAACAUGAAUUAUGGUUUUUAGCACUUGGGAAAAUUUGGACAUCCCAUGUUGAAAUUUGACUAGACAAUACUGAUAAUAAUAAUAAUAAUAAUGGUAUUUUGCAUGAUUGCAGUACAGCAGAUCUUUCAAGCCAUGAUGAAACAUGAAUUAUGGUUUUUAGCACUUGGGAAAAUUUGGACAUCCCAUGUUGAAAUUUGACUAGACAAUACUGAUAAUAAUAAUAAUAAUAAUGGUAUUUUGCAUGAUUGCAGUACAGCAGAUCUUUCAAGCCAUGAUGAAACAUGAAUUAUGGUUUUUAGCACUUGGGAAAAUUUGGACAUCCCAUGUUGAAAUUUGACUAGACAAUACUGAUAAUAAUAAUAAUAAUAAUGGUAUUUUGCAUGAUUGCAGUACAGCAGAUCUUUCAAGCCAUGAUGAAACAUGAAUUAUGGUUUUUAGCACUUGGGAAAAUUUGGACAUCCCAUGUUGAAAUUUGACUAGACAAUACUGAUAAUAAUAAUAAUAAUAAUGGUAUUUUGCAUGAUUGCAGUACAGCAGAUCUUUCAAGCCAUGAUGAAACAUGAAUUAUGGUUUUUAGCACUUGGGAAAAUUUGGACAUCCCAUGUUGAAAUUUGACUAGACAAUACUGAUAAUAAUAAUAAUAAUAAUGGUAUUUUGCAUGAUUGCAGUACAGCAGAUCUUUCAAGCCAUGAUGAAACAUGAAUUAUGGUUUUUAGCACUUGGGAAAAUUUGGACAUCCCAUGUUGAAAUUUGACUAGACAAUACUGAUAAUAAUAAUAAUAAUAAUGGUAUUUUGCAUGAUUGCAGUACAGCAGAUCUUUCAAGCCAUGAUGAAACAUGAAUUAUGGUUUUUAGCACUUGGGAAAAUUUGGACAUCCCAUGUUGAAAUUUGACUAGACAAUACUGAUAAUAAUAAUAAUAAUAAUGGUAUUUUGCAUGAUUGCAGUACAGCAGAUCUUUCAAGCCAUGAUGAAACAUGAAUUAUGGUUUUUAGCACUUGGGAAAAUUUGGACAUCCCAUGUUGAAAUUUGACUAGACAAUACUGAUAAUAAUAAUAAUAAUAAUGGUAUUUUGCAUGAAUAGCAGAUCUUUCAAGGCUCGCUGAAACCUGAAUUAACAUUUUUACCACAUUGAAAAGUUUUAACAUCCUACAUUUAUAUUGGACUAGAAGAUUCCGAUAAAUCUAAUAAUUUUAUGCAAUUCACUUUUAU